AUUGAGACUUUUUCAGAUUACGAUAACAUUAUAUGUUUGAACUUAUCGAUAACAAUGUUAAAUUACGGAACUAUAAUCAUUUGUUCUGUUGCACUGUGAUAUUCGUACGGGCUUCAUGCCAAAAUGAAAUUGUAAUAAAAAUGUGAUGUAAACAAACGUGAAAAUUUUGUUUUAAGAUUUGCUCCCAAUCUUUCAAUUGACUUGCAGAGCGAAUUGUCUGCAUAAAUCUUACAAAUAAUUAACACUUAAAGCUAAAAUAAAUAAAAAACAUAUCGUUAAAUUGUUGACUUACGAUGAACUUAAAAUAAACAAAAUAAAGUAUUGUCUUGGUGAAAAAGUUUGGUGUUGAAUAUUGCCCAGAAUCAUUGUCAAAUCUUACAUUUAUGAUACCUAUAGUAGAAAGGUUUAGGGCAUAGCUGCAAAAUGGCACAAUAUUGGCGGUGCUGUAAAUGUGAUGGUUAGAGAACCUUUUAGUUGGAUUUUGAAAGUUUUGACCAACACAUUUUCUUAAAAUCUUCCUCUCAAACGUCUCAAUUUCCUUAGCUACAUAUGGCGAAAUGGUGAACCAAAUUGGUAAUCCAUAUUCAAUAAUUGGCCGGAUUGCAACUUUAUAAAGUAGCAGCUUAGUAUUUUGCGGCGGAUAAGUAUUGCACAUUAAUGUGGACAAACGUCCAGCAGUUAUCUUGGCCUUUUUCAAUGAUGCUCUGGCGUGUUCAUUAAAUUUAAAUAAUUUAUUUAUAUGUAUUCCCAAAUAUUUGAAGGAAUCUCGGAAUGGAAUUUCUAUGCCAUCCAGUAAGAGACACAGAUUCUUCGCUUCGGGAACAACGCUUCUAUGACAUUUCCCAGAUGCGUUUCUAAUACAUACUGCUUCCGAUUUAGCUGCGUUUACUGUAAUUUCCCAUGUUUUAUAAUAUUUACUUAUAUCGCCAAGGUGAAGAGCGGCUUGCUUUAAGGCUUCAGUGGGUGAGUUAUGGUGACUAUAUACCAAGCAAUCGUCAGCAUACAAUAUGGCUUUUGAAUUUUCUGUUUGAUGGGGGAAGUCGUGAAGGAAAAGAUUAAAUAGAAGGGGCGACAGGACACUGCCUUGAGGAACUCCACUCGAUAUAGAUCCAAAACUGGACAGACAAUCAUUAAUUGUGACAGUAAAUUUCCUAUCUGUCAAGAAAUUUUGGAGAAUUUUGAUUAAUAAUGGGUCCACACUAAGUUGUAUUAAUUUAUAGAUUAUCCCCUUGUGGUACACAGAGUCGAAAGCCUUUUGAAUAUCAAGGGAAAUCGCUACAGUGCAGAUAUUUUCUCUCAGGUUACUUGUUACGUCUUCACGAAACUUCAAUAAUGCAUGGUUUUUUGAGUGUGCCGCUUUAAAGCCAAAUUGCCAGUCGGGAAUCGGAUGUAUCACAAACUCAUUUUCUAAUUUUUCUCAUAGAAUUCUCCCAAAAACUUUUCCAAUAUUGGAUAACAUAGAUAUUGGACGGAACUCUUGAGGUGUUAUACUGUUAAUUUUCUUCUUGAUUGGUAUAAUUUUUCAAUUUUCCAUGACUUAGGGAAGUAUCCAUUAUUCAAACAGUUGUUGAAUAUAAUUGUUAAGAAUUUUAAAGAUUCAUCAGAAAAAUUCUUUAGUACAUAGUUUGAUAUUCCAUCUAGACCGGUCGAUUUUUUUCUAUUCAGACUUACAAUGUGCGUUUUUAUAGAUGAUACAAUUGUAAAGUGGUAGUUGUCUGAAUUGUGUAAUGAUUUAAA